GAUGAAGAACGUAGCGAAAUGCGAUAAGUAAUGUGAAUUGCAGAAUUCAGUGAAUCAUCGAAUCUUUGAACGCACCUUGCGCCCUUUGGCUAUUCCGAAGGGCAUGCCUGUUUGAGUAUCAUGAACACCUCAACUCUCAUGGUUUGCCAUGAUGAGCUUGGACUUUGGGGGUCUUGCUGGCCUAUGGUCAGCUCCUCUAAAAUGAAUCAGCUUGCCAGUGUUUGGUGGCAUCACAGGUGUGAUAACUAUCUACGCUUGUGGAUUUCCACCAGAUAACCUUCAGCAAUGAAGGUUCGCUGGGGCUCAUAAAUGUCUCUCCUCAGUGGAGACCGCUCUUUUGAAUGUUUGAUCUCAAAUCAGGUAGGACUACCCGCUGAACUUAAGCAUAUCAAUAAGCGGAGGA
rnacentral:misc_RNA from 1 species